CCCGCCUCUCUCCUCCUCCUCCUCCAGGCCCCCUUUUUGGGCAGAAUUCCAAAUGCUGCCGGCCGCGGCUAGCGCCAGGGAGAGGAGGCAGCGUGCCGCCCGCCACCGAGAGGCGGGGACCCGAGAGGCUGGGGACUGAUGGAUGCGGGGGACUCGGACCCGAGCUCCAGCCUCCCCACCUCCCUGGAGAAGGAGACCCUGGCGGCGCAGAGCGAGGCGCCCGGCUCAGGCCGCCUGGCCUCCCGCUGGCUGAGACCAGGAAAGGGGCUGGACACAGCCCGGCGCGGGAGAUAGCCCUGGAUCUGCCAGAUGGAAGCCCAACUGAAGCUAUAGGUGGGAGCAAAGAAUGGUCUUUCAGCCACCUACCUCCUUUUUCCUGAAAAUCUCCUGGAAGUCAGUUCCUGGUAUCAGGUGAUUCGGGAACCAUGUAAAGCUCUGGAAGGUGUUGUUUGCACCAAGAGCACUGCAUGCAUGAAAGUAUCAUCAUUCCCAAAGACCAGAGAGAAAUGCAGUCUUCUGUCUCUGCUUCGUCUUGUCCAUGGCAGGAAGGUCUUUCCAAACUUCUGGACUAAAGCUCUCCUAAGUGAGAGAGACUUUUAGGGUGGGUUGAAGUAGAGGAGAACAGUGCCAAGGGUGACUUUCCUUAAUGGGAACCAGCUCUGUGCUUGAUAUUUAAUUAAAUCCAUUAAAUGUCAAGAGCACUGCCACAACCCAUUUUACAGAUGAUAAAGCUGAGUGCAGUUAGAGGGCUACCUUGUCUGAGAUCCCACAGCAAAAAAAGUGUAGACCUGGUAGUCAAUCCCAGCAAUGUACGAGUCCCGGAGAUACUGUCCAAUGCAAACACAUCAGCAAGAUCUCAAUGCUGCUGAUCAGUCAUGGCUUCAGCUUUGAACAUGAAGCAUCUGAGUUAUAGACUAUUCUUCAAGAAGUAAUGCAGUCCCCGUUAUGCAGCAUGCAUAGCAAUUCAACCUGAUGGCUAAUAAAAUGCUUCUUCACAGCUCUCUGAAGAAAGCUCUUUAAUUGAUAAGGCUCCUUUGCAGUUAGCGCUAUGGUUUACGCACAAACAUCAGCUAUUCCAUGAUCCUUAAAAAUGCUUUUGUGCUAUUCAGAUGGUUACACAUUCCCGGCCUCAAUCAGAUUCCCAGGAUCUAUUUGCUUAGCUGUGUGUGUGUGUCAGGGCCGGCGGGGGGGGGGG
ensembl:lncRNA